UUUAAGAUAUGAAUAUAUGGAAUUCAUUUAUUUAAUAAGUAAGAUCCAAUAUACAUUUUGUGUUUCGGAUCUGUGGAUGCAAUUGCAAAUUCUUGAAGUGACAAAGAUUAUAUUUAUAUCUGUGGCCACACUGUUUAUUGAAGAUAAAAGUUCCAUAGAGUAACAUUCUUUUUUCCUUUCUGUCAUUAGUUUUUAUCUACUGAAAAGGGUUAACUCUAAGUUUUCUCUCUACCCAUGAAGGAGACAGGACAGGACUCAUCUCAUAUUCCAUCAACCUAGCCUUGGAUUCGCUCUGAUCUGUAUAAUCCAUGCACAUUUUCUCUUCAGGCAAAACCUUAACCCUCCAUAUUUUGAAGGAGUGGUCCAAACUUGCACUAUAUACCAAAAACCCCAUCACAACUUUCUCCAAUUCCAUACAAGCAGCCAGACAUCUCACUGGCCCUCUAUGCCCAUCUAACACUGCUAAACAUUCAUGGAAAUAGCUUCCUUCUUCUCUCCUCCAUACCCUGAUUGUCGUAUCCUCUGAUCCGCUAAAUAUCAACUUCUCCACAGCCACUAGGCAAAGAACUGAAAAACGAUGCCCUUGCAAGAAUCCACCAUGGUUAAACCUGCCAGAAAAUUUCUCCUUCUCCCAAAAGUUUAUGGUACCAUCUGAGGACCCUGAAUAGAGAAAGCAAUUGCUGAAGGUGGAGCUUAAGGCCAAUGCAUUGACUGGAGAUUGCUGGAAUUUUAGUGUCAUAGUGAGAGUGUGAGAAUUUUCUCUAUACACUCUCCUCCAUAUUUUAACUGACCCAUCUAAUGAGCAAGUAAAGACACACCCAUCAUCUUGAUUCACCACUAUAGCAUUUACAUUAUCUUCAUGAGCUACAAAUGAGUCUACACAUUUUUUAUCUGAAACUUUCCAAACUUUAACUGUUCUGUCAUAUGAACCAGUGUACAGGAGCCCUUCUGCGUGGUAAUAAGCCAUGCAAGAAACACAAUCCCUAUGUUUUUGUGCGUUUGAUCUAGAGAAUAAACGAAAUGAACUUCUUUUAGGUAAUUUGGAGACCUUUCUUAUUCGAUAACACUCUGAAACUGUGAAGUUCCAAAUUCGAAUUUUAUGAUCUUUAUGGGCAGAGAAUAGUAUGUUACCAUGAGCUAAAAUGGCUCGAACUUCUCCGGAACUCGCUUUGAGAUAGCCCCGUUCGAUGCAAUCGGGCAGCCUCCAUGCACGUAUACGCUUACUUUCAGAGCCAGUGAAGACUACUCCUUUUGAAACAGCAAUGGAGAAGAUGUUCCCUUCGUUGCGAUGAAUCGAGGCUAUGCAAUGGUAGAGAAGAGAAGGUGAUGGGGUGUGCAGAGGAGAGAGCGUCCACGGUGAUUCUGGGCUAGCUGGCGGGAUUAAGUUAAGCUUAUUGGUGGAGCGGGUAGUAGAAUGCCUUGGAGGGCUGAACUGGACAUGAUCUUGGUCGUUCAUUUCUUGAAAAGUUCUAAUGGAAGGGAGGGUAAUUUUAGGUGGUUGCAUUGCAUUUCCCUCUUCAGACAUGAAGCUAGACAGAGUUCUCUUUCCAUAGAAUUCCAUUGCAUCAGUGCCGCGGGAGGCAAUGGGUUAUGUGGGAAAUAGCUAUAAACAUAUAAAGAUUGGAUGGAAAUGGAGUAUUUAUGUACUCAGUGAUGUGAGCCGAACUAACCACCCACUGCUAAUUAUUGUAUGCACCCG
rnacentral:misc_RNA from 1 species